GGGGAUAUAGCUCAGUUGGUAGAGUGCUUGCUUUGCAUGCACAAGGCCCUGGGUUCAAUCCCCAGCACCUCA
rnacentral:tRNA from 1 species